rnacentral:rRNA from 1 species
GCCUAAUACAUGCAAGUCGAGCGAAGUUUUUCUGGUGCUUGCACUAGAGAAACUUAGCGGCGAACGGGUGAGUAACACGUAAAGAACCUGCCUUAUAGACUGGGACAACUAUUGGAAACGAUAGCUAAUACCGGAUAACAGCAUUAACUGCAUGGUUGAUGUUUGAGAGUUGGUUUUGCUAACACUAUGAGAUGGCUUUGCGGUGCAUUAGCUAGUUGGUGGGGUAAAGGCCUACCAAGGCGACGAUGCAUAGCCGACCUGAGAGGGUGACCGGCCACACUGGGACUGAGACACGGCCCAGACUCCUACGGGAGGCAGCAGUAGGGAAUCUUCCGCAAUGGGCGAAAGCCUGACGGAGCAACGCCGCGUGAGUGAAGAAGGAUUUCGGUUCGUAAAGCUCUGUUGUUAGGGAAGAAUGAUUGUGUAGUAACUAUACACAGUAGAGACGGUACCUAACCAGAAAGCCACGGCUAACUACGUGCCAGCAGCCGCGGUAAUACGUAGGUGGCAAGCGUUGUCCGGAAUUAUUGGGCGUAAAGCGCGCGCAGGUGGUUUAAUAAGUCUGAUGUGAAAGCCCACGGCUCAACCGUGGAGGGUCAUUGGAAACUGUUAAACUUGAGUGCAGGAGAGAAAAGUGGAAUUCCUAGUGUAGCGGUGAAAUGCGUAGAGAUUAGGAGGAACACCAGUGGCGAAGGCGGCUUUUUGGCCUGUAACUGACACUGAGGCGCGAAAGCGUGGGGAGCAAACAGGAUUAGAUAUCCUGGUAGUCCACGCCGUAAACGAUGAGUGCUAAGUGUUGGUCUCAUAAGAGAU